rnacentral:rRNA from 1 species
UACGUAGGUGGCAAGCGUUGUCCGGAAUCAUUGGGCGUAAAGCGCGUGUAGGCGGCCCGAUAAGUCCGCUGUGAAAGUCCAGGGCUCAACCCUGGGAUGCCGGUGGAUACUGUCGGGCUCGAGUCCGGAAGAGGCGAGUGGAAUUCCUGGUGUAGCGGUGAAAUGACGCAGAUAUCAGGAGGAACACCAAUGGCGAAGGCAGCUCGCUGGGACGUGACUGACGCUGAGACGCGAAAGCGUGGGGAGCAAACAGG